rnacentral:rRNA from 1 species
UGGGGAAUUUUGGACAAUGGGCGCAAGCCUGAUCCAGCCAUGCCGCGUGCGGGAAGAAGGCCUUCGGGUUGUAAACCGCUUUUGGCAGGAACGAAACGGCGCGGGUGAAUAUCCCGCGCUAAUGACGGUACCUGCAGAAUAAGCACCGGCUAACUACGUGCCAGCAGCCGCGGUAAUACGUAGGGUGCAAGCGUUAAUCGGAAUUACUGGGCGUAAAGCGUACGCAGGCGGCUAUGCAAGACAGAUGUGAAAUCCCCGGGCUUAACCUGGGAACUGCAUUUGUGACUGCAUGGCUAGAGUCCGUUAGAGGGGGGUGGAAUUCCACGUGUAGCAGUGAAAUGCGUAGAGAUGUGGAGGAACACCGAUGGCGAAGGCAGCCCCCUGGGAUGAGACUGACGCUCAUGUACGAAAGCGUGGGGAGCAAACAGG